rnacentral:rRNA from 1 species
UAUGUGAUCGUCUCUCGCAUAUCAAUAAGCGGAGGAAAAGAGACUAACAAGGAUUCCCCUAGUAACGGCGAGUGUAGCGGGAAGAGCUCAAAUUUGAAAUCUUAAAGGGUUUCCCUUUACGAAUUGUAGUUUAAAGAAGUGUUUUCUGUUGAGGUUUUGGUAAAAGUUCUUUGGAAUAGGACAUCAUAGAGGGUGAGAAUCCCGUAUUUGACCUUUACUUUCAACUUUGUGAUACACUUUCAAAGAGUCGGAUUGUUUGGGAAUGCAGUCCAAAAUGGGUGGUAAAUUUCAUCUAAAGCUAAAUAUUGGCGAGAGACCGAUAGCGAACAAGUACCGUGAGGGAAAGAUGAAAAGAACUUUGAAAAGAGAGUUAAACAGUACGUGAAAUUGUCAAAAGGGAAGCGUUUGACACCAGUGUUGUUUUUCUGAAAAUCAAUUAAAGAACUGUUUAUGCUAAGUUGUUUAGACUUUAUCAGCUAUCUGUUUAGUUUUGAGCUUUUCUUUAAUGCACUUUUCAGUUAACAAGUCAACAUCAAUUUCUUUUGCUGUAAAAAAGCUUGAGGAAGGUGGCUUGAGAUUCGUCUUAAGUGUUUAUAGCCUCUUGCCUAUGCAGUCGGAGAGAUUGAGGUCUGCAGCGUAGAUCCUUCGGGGCUAAAUGCAUUUGUGCUAAGUUAUAGCAUUUUAUAGACAACUUGUUGACUAUGAUUUGUCUUGUAGCUUACUCGCUUAUGUUAUUUUACCUACGCUUAGGAUGUUGAAGAUAUGCGCGACACG